CGUGUACAAGAGGCUUAUUUAAAGGGGAAAUAUGAACCGGUGGGAUUUAGAACAGGUGCACAGUUCAAGCUCAGAGACUAAUUUCAUACUGUAGUGUGUAACACUCAAGAAUGAUGAAGAUGCUGCUUGUGAGUCUGGCUCUUGUCCUUCUACUGACCAGUGGUUCUGCCCUUCAAUGCCACAAGUGUUUCAUGGGAAAAUGUACUAUUCAAACCUGCAGCACUGGUCAAGACACCUGCAUCGCCGCAAGGAUGGCAACCGGUUUAGCUUUAUUCGUUCAAAAGAAAUGUGGAACUCGGGCUGAGUGUUUGAAGUACCAGAAAGCCGUAUGCUGUGGUUCGGAUCUUUG